AACAAGGAUUCCCCUANUNANGGCGAAUGAAGCGGGAACGGCUCAAAUUUGAAAUCUGCGUCGCUUGCGACGCCGAAUUGUAGUUUCGAGAAGCGCUUUCUAGGCGGGUCCGGCGCCGUCCAAGUUGCUUGGAACAGCACGUCGUAGAGGGUGACAACCCCGUCUGCGGCGGCGCCGGCCGCCCACGAUGCGCUUUCCACGAGUCGGGUUGUUUGGGAAUGCAGCCCAAAAUGGGUGGUAAACUCCAUCUAAAGCUAAAUACUGGCACGAGACCGAUAGCGAACAAGUACCGUGAGGGAAAGAUGAAAAGCACUUUGAAAAGAGAGUUAAACAGUACGUGAAACCGUUGAAAGGGAAACGGACGGGGUCAGCAAUGCGCUCCGCGAGAUUCAGCCGGGCGGUGCGUCGGGCGGGCGGUUGGCGGAUCUGAAUGGACCGCGGCCGUCUGGUUCGGCGUCCCGAUCGUCGCACUUCUCGCGAGCGCGCGCCAGCGUCGGUUGGCACUGGGUCUCACCCCNGGGNGG
rnacentral:rRNA from 1 species